GAGGCAGCAGCCAAGCAGCACCAAGUUGCUGUGUCAGCAGUGGGAUGUACCCUAGAAACUGCCUGGAGCUGAGCCAAGGAACUGAAAGGGACUGAGCAAGCAAAGUACAGAAAGAAUGAAGAAGGGAACUGAGGCAGCAGCCAAGCAGCACCGAGCUCCUCUACAACCAGG